AUAGAACACUAUACCUGGAAUGGUUUGUGUUCCAAAUGAUUUAUCGCCGUAGGAUGGGACUGCGGCCUAUCAGUUUGUUGGUGAGGUAAUGGCCCACCAAGACUAUUACAGGUACGGGCUCUGAGAGGAGUAGCCCGGAGGUGGGUACUGAGACACGGACCCAGGCCCUAUGGGGCGCAGCAGGCGAGAAAACUUUGCAAUGUGCGAAAGCACGACAAGGUUAAUCCGAGUGGUUUGUGCUAAACGAACCUUUUGACAGUCCUAGAAACACUGUUGAAUAAGGGGUGGGCAAGUUCUGGUGUCAGCCGCCGCGGUAAAACCAGCACCUCAAGUGGUCAGGAUGAUUAUUGGGCCUAAAGCAUCCGUAGCCGGCUCUGUAAGUUUUCGGUUAAAUCUGUACGCUCAACGUACAGGCUGCCGGGAAUACUGCAAAGCUAGGGAGUGGGAGAGGUAGACGGUACUCGGUAGGAAGGGGUAAAAUCCUUUGAUCUAUUGAUGACCACCUGUGGCGAAGGCGGUCUACCAGAACACGUCCGACGGUGAGGGAUGAAAGCUGGGGGAGCAAACCGGAUUAGAUACCCGGGUAGUCCCAGCUGUAAACUAUGCAAACUCAGUGAUGCAUUGGCUUGU
rnacentral:rRNA from 1 species